rnacentral:ncRNA from 1 species
AUUCUCAGGGCGGGGUGUAAGUCCCCACCGGUGGUUAUAGCCCACGAGCGCUUAAUAUAACAAGUUAUUGUUGAUUGUUACCUAAUAAUACAACACCGAGUUGCAAGGUAAUUAUAUUAAGGUCUAGCUGAUUUGGUGAAAUUCCAAAGCCGACAGUUAUAGUCUGGAUAAAAGAGAGU